rnacentral:miRNA from 1 species
UAAGUGCUCCGUGAUGAAGUGU